CGCAAGAAAAAAAAUGGCAUGUGCACAGGUUUCUUGCUUCUCCUUUUCCUUGUCACCCCCAUUUCUUAGGGUUUCUCCAACCCACGUCUAUGAUGCGGCCCGACCCCUUCAGGUGUUGAUCUUCCUCCACGAGCGGCCCAGCCCCUAAAGCCGCAACUAUCAACGAAGCGAUGCCACCCCCAGUGUAUCCGUGAAGCUCCUCCAUGUUCGAUCAAACCCUACCGCCACCACUAGCAGCGAAGCGACGCCACCCCAGCCGCGGAGCUCCAUGGCCUAAGCCCUAAAGCUCCUCCACCAGGGAAGCGAUGCUACCACUCAAUUUUACUCGACAGUUGAACCACUAAACUCGAAGAAGGGGUCUGUACGGGUUUGUUUCUUCGAAUGAUCUAAAUCUUGAUGUUAUUCUUUCUGCCUGCCUCUUAUCCAGGUGUUAAUCUCCUCGUUCCUUGGAAGGACAUAAGUGAUCCCAAAGACUCCUUUCGCCUUCUCUGUCUCAUCUAAGUUUAGCAUUCUGACUUCGAAUCAAAGGACCAAAUAUUCAUGUCUGCCAGCUCUUCAUCAACAACAUCUUUCACUCAAAGAUUCAUGAAUGAGGGAUAAAGUGAAACUUCCCAUAUAUUAUGUUAUUGUGGGUUAAGAGCUACUCUAUGGACAUUAUGGAAGGAAAUCAAUCCAGGAUGGCUAUUUUUUUCAUGUCCAAAAUUUAGAGAAAGAGAAUGUGACUUCUUCUUAUGGCAUAAUCCAGAAUUAUCAGAGAAAACUAAGACAAUUAUUAAUGAUAUGAAGAGGGAUAACAAAAAAUUAAAAAUGGAGAUUAGUGAAUUGAAGAAAUCUAAUAUAUACAUCGAAAGUACAGUUGAUUGCAAUAAUCUCCUGGAGAAUGUGAACAACUCUAUUACUAUGAAGUUUAGUGAUAAAAUAUAUUCAUUGAGUAGGAAGUUUAGAGUUGCUAUCGUUGUAGUUGUAUUUACUUGGAUUGUGAUGAUUUUGAGAUGGUUGAUGUAAUUUGCUAUAAGCAAAUAACUGUUGAAGUAAUGAAAGAUGUUUUUGGUUUUUUAAUGUGACUUCUUAGUGUUUUUUGAUUUUUUUUGUUGGGGUUGUUUGAUGAAAUUAUGUUAUUCAUGGUUGAUACAAUUUGGUUGUGACUUAAAUUUCCAGCAAAUAACUAGUUUCUCCAAAGAUUUCUACAGCAGAAAUUAUUGGUUAAAUUUGAUCUUUCAUAUGAAUUUUUCUUAUACUAGGACAUAAUGGUCAGAUAUAACCACAUGAAAGGUAGGCCUACACUUUGGAUUCCUGGUACAGAUUAGCAAAAUUUUAACAUCAUGAAAGAAGCAAACGAAUCUAAAACUCCCAUUAGGAAGACCUUCAACGUGAUGGUUACCAAUGGUAUAUUAGACAUUCAUCUCCUGUGCUGGAAAGGAAACCUGCUGCAUUCCGACUGAAGGAACGCAUGGGCCAUCGUUUUCUGCAAUAACAGUUUCUCCAUGUUGUCUUUCUUCAGCUGACAUUUUUUUCCUUCCUUUUGUUCUUUUUCUUAUUUUGUUCCUAGUAACUAUGCUUUCCCCCUCUAGUUUCUGCUGUGUUGAUUGUGUUGAUAAAAUUAGUGUGUUAGUGGACAUGUUUUAAUUGAGUUAGUCGAGAGAAAUAAUAGUGUAAUGGUUGUAAUGUGAUGUUAGUGGGUCAAUGAGUUGACAGGUUGAGUUAGUGGUGGAAGAUAGGGUUAAUGUUGUGAUGUUUGUGGAGUUAGUGGGUUUUUUAAUAUGUGAUGUAUUAACCUAUAAAUAUGAUAUGUAAUGAUCAAUAAAAGUGUGUGAAAAAAUUAUUUUUA